rnacentral:rRNA from 1 species
AGUAGUUUGAUCAUGGCUCAGAACGACGCUGGCGGCAUGCCUAACACAUGCAAGUCGAACGAAGGCUUCGGCCUUAGUGGCGCACGGGUGCGUAACGCGUGGGAAUCUGCCCAAAGGUACGGAAUAACUCCUCGAAAGGGGUGCUAAUACCGUAUGAUGUCGCAAGACCAAAGAUUUAUCGCCUUUGGAUGAGCCCGCGUAGGAUUAGGUAGUUGGUGAGGUAAAGGCUCACCAAGCCGACGAUCCUUAGCUGGUCUGAGAGGAUGAUCAGCCACACUGGGACUGAGACACGGCCCAGACUCCUACGGGAGGCAGCAGUGGGGAAUAUUGGACAAUGGGCGAAAGCCUGAUCCAGCAAUGCCGCGUGAGUGAUGAAGGCCUUAGGGUUGUAAAGCUCUUUACCCGGGAAGAUAAUGACUGUACCGGGAGAAUAAGCCCCGGCUAACUCCGUG